GGCUUUGCCAUCCAGCACACGUACCUGCCCUGCCUCCAAGUUGGCAACCAGCAGCGUCCAAAUUACUUGCCUAUGGAGGUCUGCAAAAUAGUGGAGGGACAGAGGUACUCCAAGAGACUAAAUCAGAAUCAGAUAAGAGCUCUCUUGGAUGAGACAUGUCAGUACCCGCGUGACCGGGAGCGUGAUAUAACCCAGAUGGUCAAACAUAAUGCUUAUCAGGAGGAUCCUUAUAAGGAGUUUGGCAUUAAGAUCAGCGAUCGUCUGGCAUCAGUGGAUGCACGGAUUUUACCGGCCCCACGGCUUAAGUACAACGAGACUGGUAGAGAAAAGGAUUGUUUACCUAAAGUUGGUCAGUGGAAUAUGAUGAACAAGAAAAUGAUCAAUGGUGGUAAAGUCAGAAGCUGGAUGUGCGUCAAUUUUGCCCGUAACGUGCCAGACAAGCUUGCUCAGAUUUUUCUGCAACAGUAACAGUAUCAUGCAUCAUCAUGAUAGGACUUCGCUCUGGAGUCUGUUCUUCCACCCAUGGGUGCACGCCCGGAUCAAGUGGAGCGAGCUCUCAAAGCUCGGUACCAUGAAGCAAUGAACAUUCUUGGACCCCAGCGCCGGGAGCUCGAUCUGCUUAUUGGGAUCCUUCCUGAUAACAACGGCUCGCUUUAUGGUGAUCUGAAGCGUGUGUGCGAAAUCGAUCUCGGAAUAGUUUCGCAAUGCUGUUGCACAAAGCAGGUGUUUAAACUGAACAAGCAAAUUUAUGCCAAUAUUGCACUGAAGAUAAACGUCAAGGUGGGGGGCAGGAACACUGUGCUGGUGGAUGCAUUGUCGCGGCGUAUCCCUCUGGUCACUGACAAACCUACAAUCAUAUUCGGUGCUGAUGUGACCCAUCUUCAUCCUGGCGAGGACAGCAGUCCCUCAAUCGCUGCUGUAGUAGCCUCCCAAGAUUGGCCGGAGGUUACGAGGUACGCGGGGUUAGUUUCUGCUCAGGCGCACCAGCAAGAGCUGAUAGAGGAUUUGUACAAGGUCCGGCAAGAUCCACAGAAAGGACCAGUCAGUAGUGGCAUGAUUAGGGAGCUACUUAUAUCCUUUAAGAAAUCAACCGGUGAGAAGCCCCAGCGGAUAAUAUUCUACAGGGAUGGCGUUAGCGAGGGCCAGUUUUACCAAGUUCUGUUGUUUGAACUCAAUGCGAUCCGAAAAGCCUGUGCUUCCCUGGAGGCAAACUACCAGCCACAGGUGACUUUCACCGUGGUUCAGAAACGCCACCACACGAGACUAUUUGCGCACAAUCACAAUGAUAAGAACUCGAUGGACAGGAGUGGGAACAUACUCCUUGGUACGGUUGUGGACACGAAGAUCUGUCAUCCGACUGAAUUCGACUUCUAAUUGUGCAGUCAUGCUGGCAUCAAGGGCACCAGCCGUCCCGCUCAUUAUCACGUCUUGUGGGACGAGAACAACUUCACAGCUGAUGGGUUGCAGACUCUCACCAACAACCUCUGCUACACCUACGCGAGGUGCACUCGCUCGGUGUCGAUUGUUCCACCUGCAUACUAUGCUCAUCUGGCCGCCUUCCGCGCCCGGUUCUACAUGGAGCCAGAGAGCUCUGACAGUGGCUCUAUGGCAAGUGGGCCCGGUGGGCGUGGACCGACGUCCGGCUCGUCGGCGUCGCGCGGUACUCGGGCCCCCGGCGGUGCAGCUGUUAAGCCCCUUCCAGCCCUCAAGGACAAUGUGAAGAACGUCAUGUUCUACUGCUGA
rnacentral:rRNA from 1 species